AUUGAACGCUGGCGGCAGGCCUAACACAUGCAAGUCGAGCGAGCGGCGGACGGGUGAGUAAUGCCUGGGCAUUUCCCAGUCGAGGGGGAUAACAGUUGGAAACGACUGCUAAUACCGCAUACGAUACGUUUGCUCAGGUGGGAUUAGCUAGUUGAUAAGGUAAUGGCUCACCAAGGCGACGAUCCCUUGCUGGUCUGAGAGGAUGAUCAGCCACACGGGAACUGAGACACGGUCCAGACUCCUACGGGAGGCAGCAGUAGGGAAUAUUGCACAAUGGGCGAAACCCUGAUGGAGCCAUGCCGCGUGUGUGAAGAAGGCCUUCGGGUUGUAAAGCACUUUCAGCAAGGAGGCGUUACUCGCAGAAGAAGCACCGGCUAACUACGUGCCAGCAGCCGCGGUAAUUC
rnacentral:rRNA from 1 species